AUAUUUGCCUCUGGGUUCUCUGCUGGAUCAUGUGAGACAACACCGGGGGGCACUGGGGCCACAGCUGCUGCUCAACUGGGGAGUACAAAUUGCCAAGGGAAUGUACUACCUUGAGGAACAUGGUAUGGUGCAUAGAAACCUGGCUGCCCGAAACGUGCUACUCAAGUCACCCAGUCAGGUUCAGGUGGCAGAUUUUGGUGUGGCUGACCUGCUGCCUCCUGAUGAUAAGCAGCUGCUAUACAGUGAGGCCAAGACUCCAAUUAAGUGGAUGGCCCUUGAGAGUAUCCACUUUGGGAAAUACACACACCAGAGUGAUGUCUGGAGCUAUGGUGUGACAGUUUGGGAGUUGAUGACCUUCGGGGCAGAGCCCUAUGCAGGGCUACGAUUGGCUGAAGUACCAGACCUGCUAGAGAAGGGGGAGCGGUUGGCACAGCCCCAGAUCUGCACAAUUGAUGUCUACAUGGUGAUGGUCAAGUGUGAGUUACCUGCUGAGCCCAACCAUUUUCUUUCUCUUUUUUUCUUUUUUCUUUUUUUUUUUUUUGAGACAGAG
rnacentral:sRNA from 1 species